rnacentral:rRNA from 1 species
GUCAGAGCAAAAUUACGGGAUGACUCAUAGAUAUACUCAGCCAUAUGCAUUCAGCGUCUGCGGAGCUCUCCCACUAUGGAUAGAAGCUCGCAGGGCGGCCGCGAAUUCACUAGCUGAUUUUAGCAUGGCCAUUAAUGGACAUAGGACGUGCGAGUUCUAUUUUGUUGGUUUCGUAGGACCGCCGUAGUGAUUAAUACGGAUAGGCAGUGGGGCAUCGCGUAUUCGAAUUGUCAGAGGUGAAAUUCAUUGGAUUUAUUGAAGACGCAACUACUGCCAAAGCAGUUUGCCAAGGGAUGUUUUCAUUAAUCACGAACGAAAGUUGAGGGAUCGAAGACGAUCAGAUACCGUCGUAGUCUCAACCAUAAGUUAUGCCGAAUUAGGCAUCGGGCGCUGUUCCACCAACUCUCGCUCGGCAUGCACCGAGAAAUCAAAGUCUAUGAAAGAGGGGGGGAGUAUGGUMGCAAGGCUGAAACUUAACGGAAUUGACGGAAGCGCACCACCAGGAGUGGAGCCUGCGGCUUAAUUUGACUCAACACCCGGAAACUCACCAAAUCAAGACACAUCCAGGAUUGCCAGAUCCAGACCUCAUUCAUGAUCAUUGAUGUGGUGGAAGGUGGCCGUUCUUAGUUGGUGGAGUGAUUUGCCUGAUUAAUAGUGAUCACAAACGAGACUUUAGCCUGCAAAAUAACCAGAUCGGCUUUUGCAGUCCCUCACCGGCUUUUUAGAGGGAAUAUGAAACAUCCAGAGUCAAAGGAAUUUUGAGUCAAUAACAUGGUCUGUGAUGCCAGAAGAUGUUCUGGACCGCACGCACUAUGCACAGCCCCCGAGCCUACGAGUUCAUCACCUUCGGCAGGAAGGUGAGCCUACUCAUGAGAAACCACACGUCGUAGUCCAUUAGAAGCCUUGCCCUAAUCU